UCUGGUUCUAGAACUUCUAUUAUUAGUUCAUGCGUGUUUAGUUUUCGUUUGUUACAACGCUAAUCCUGAACAGGAGUUUUGGUUUGUUUUUAACGCUUACUGCAGUACUCCUUUAGUUCAUGAACAGAAUGAACACCCCUGAUGGAGUUACAACUUAAAGUAAUUAAAGUUAGACCAGAAGAGAUAUGCAGAGAAACUUGGACAGAAAGUGUGGAAAUGCAGAGUAAAGAUAUGCACAGCAUCCCAUGGCAGCCCCUUGCACCAACACUGAAGCAGUAAAUCAGUGUAGAAUUAACACAGCCCCAGGAUGGAAAAGGAAAAGUAGGAAGUGAAACAAAGACUCCUGAUAGACCUGAUAUUAACGCAAGUAAAAUCAAAGGCAGAAAGUGACAUAUCAGUGAGUAAAAUGUAAAGAGAAAAUAUUUUACUUGAAGAUACAAGAAAACUCAGCUAAGAUUUGAUUUCCCUAUGUCAUCAUUUUUAGAAGAGUCCAGAGGGUUCUAAAAUAAAUCAAAAAC
rnacentral:lncRNA from 1 species